rnacentral:tRNA from 1 species
CUCUCAGUAACUCAGAGGCCAGAGUAUCCGACUUUUAAUCGGUUAGUCGCAGGUUCGACUCCUGCCUGGGAGA